GACGAACGCUGGCGGCGUGCUUAACACAUGCAAGUCGAACGGACAGGCCCUGCUUUUGCGGGGUGCACGAGUGGCGAACGGGUGAGUAACACGUGAGUAAACUGCCCUUGACUUUGGGAUAACUUCAGGGAACAGGGGCUAAUACCGGAUAGGAGCUAUUGCUGCAUGGUGGGGGAUGGAAAGAUGCGGCGGUUGGGGAUUGACUCGCGGCUUAUCAGCUUGAUGGGGGGGUAGUGGCUGCCCAAGGCUUGGACGGGUAGCCGGCCCUGGAACGUGACCGGCCUCCUGGGUCCUGCGAGACGGCCCAGACGCCAACGUUACGCAAUGGGGGGAAACCUUACGCAAUGGGGCCGAGCCUGAUGCGACAGCGCCGCGUUCGGGAAGCCCUGUUUCGGGUUGUAAACCGCUUUCUCCGUAGCCGAGGCGGUAGUGACGGUAACGGGUCAAGAAGCCCCGGCUAACUACGUG
rnacentral:rRNA from 1 species